rnacentral:rRNA from 1 species
UUCUGACGUACCGAUGCCACUAGCGAUCCGCCGGUGGUAAUUAGGCCCAGGCGGGGAGCUUCCCGGGUCAAAAGUCUUCCGGUUCCGGGGGAAGUAUGGUUGGUUUGCUGAAACUUAAAGGAAUUGACGGAAGGGCACCACCAGGAGUGGAGCCUGCGGCUUAAUUUGACUCAACACGGGAAACCUCACCAGGCCCGGACACUGUAAGGAUUGACAGAUUGAGAGCUCUUUCUUGAUUCAGUGGGUGGUGGUGCAUGGCCGUUCUUAGUUGGUGGAGCGAUUUGUCUGCUUUAUUGCGAUAACGAACGAGACUCUAGCCUGCUAACUAGUCACUGCAGGAUUCCUUUGUUGCAUCCUGCGAAAACGAAUCUUCGUAUACGGACAGGCGGCUUCUAGCCGCACGAGAUUGAGCAAUACCAUGUCUGUGAUGCCCUUAGAUGUUCUGGCCCGCACACGAGCUACGAUGAAUGUAUCAUGGUGUCCUGCCUGGGCGAAAGGUCGGGGUAACCCGCUGAAACGGCUUCGUGCUUGGGAUUGGUCCCUGAAAUUGUUCAACAUGAACGAAGAAUUCCCAGUAAAGGCGUGUCAAUUACACGCCUUGAUUACGUCCCUGCCCUUUGUACACACCGCCCGAUGAUACUAUUGAUUGAAUGAUUUAGAGAGUUCUUCGAACUGUUUCGCGAUGUUCCUUCGUGGAUCGCCGCUGCCGUCUGACAGAUGACCAUGCUUGAUCAUUAUAGACGAAGUAAAGGUUCCUAACAGUGUAUCCUGUAGGAAGGAUCUGCGGAAAGAUCACGGACGAAUACGUCUAAUCCUGCUAGACUAGAGUCCGUAUAGCGAUGGUCAUCCCGGAGUUGCAAAAAAUCAUGUCGACUGUUUUUCCGGGAAUCGA